GCUAUUUUCCUACAAAGUGAGUUCCUAUGCUACCUCUACACCCGAGAGUUCUGGAUUCUUUAGAAUCCCUAGAACUGUUCUUGGACUUGUGAUAUCACCCAUUCUGGGCUGCUCCCUUAAUUCCUUUCAAGGCUCAACUCUGUAUUUCAUAUACAAGAUGGCUUUGGUUUUAUUUUAGGAAAAAUCUGAAGGGAAGGUAUUUGUAGUGGAAGGAACAGAACAACAGAAUGAGGAGAAUGUUAAUGAAACAGUAGCACAGUCCCCGGAGACCAAAGUGCCAGUGGCUUUUGUUUAAGGUAAUAACCAGUUUUCUACCUGAGUGGUUUCUAAACACCACAGAAACUUGGCGUGGAACAGGGAUGCUUUCAGAUCUAAGGAACAAUAAACAGCUUGUGUCGACUUUGAAACACUUUCAAGUACUGCAGCUUCCCCACCAGAGGGCAGUUCAUUUGGAGCUCCAUCAUUGCAGGAGCUAUGAGCUUGAGGCUGGCACAAGUACUGUGCCAGCUGUUCACACUUCAAACACAGACCUAGAAAGUGGCUGGGAUCCCCUGGAGGAAAAAGAAUCUCUGGCUUCUUUGUGUUGCAAGCAUGAUUCAGAUCUAAGCACUACUAAUGGGGACUAUGGAUGUCCAAGAGCACUGCUUUGAAAUAGAGAAUGCAGCAGUCUAAAUGGCUAAAUUCCUACAUUCAUCUGCUCAUCUUCAUUGUUUAAACCUCAACUAUCUUGGAGCCAGGAAUGGAUAUCACUCCAGAAGUAGGGAUGACUCCCAACCUUAGUAUCCAAAGAAUGAAGGUUUGAAGAUGUGGCAAGGGUCACCAUCAAGGAGGAAUACAAAUCUACACAUGGCAAGUUCAACCGCACAGUCAAGGCUGACAACAAGAAACUGUUAUCAAUGAGAGAGCCAUCACCAUCUUUCAGGAGCAAGACCCUGCCCAUAUCAAAGGGGUAAUGCUGGUGCAGAAUAUAUUCUUGGAAUUUACUGAUGUCUCACCCAACAGAGAGAAGUCUGGGGCUCAACUUAAGGGUGAUACUGAAUGGGUCAUCAUCUCUGCCCCUUCUGAUGAUUCACCCAUGUUUCUGAUGGGUGUGAACCACAAGAAGUAUGGCAACUCAUUUAAGAUUAUUGACAAUGCUUUCUAUAUCGCCAACUUCAGAGGCCCUUGGUAAAGGUCAUCCGUGACAACUCUAGUAUUAUGAAAGAACUCCUGACCACACUCUGUGAGAUUACUGCCACGUUGAAUACUGGGAAUGUUUCCUUUGAGAAGCUGUUUCUUGAUCACCAUGGGGCUACCCAGAAUAUCUUCUCUGCAUGGUGCUACCAAGUCUGUAGGCAAGGUCAUUCUAGAACUGAACAGGAAUCUCACUGCUAUAACCUUUUGCAUUUCUACCUCCAAUGUAUUCAUCAUUGAUCUAACAUAGCACCUAGAGAAAGCUGCCAAUAUAAUGACAUGAAGAAGUUGGUGAAGCAGCUAUUGAGGGACAACUAAAGGGCAACCUGGGCUGUACUGUGUGCCAAACUAUCUCCUCCAAUUUUAAGAAUGAUGUCCCUUCUUCCAUCUUUUAUGCUGGGGCUAGCAUUGGUCUUAGUGACAAUUUUGUAAAGAGUAUUUCCUAGUAUGACAAUGAAUUUGGCCACAGCAAAGCAGGGGUGGGAAUGAACCUCAUAGACUUCAUGGCCUCUAAGAUUUAAGAAGUCCUUGACCAUCCACCCCAUCAAGAAUAUGAGACCAAGAAAGACAGUGUUACUCAGCUGCUGUGGUGUCCCUGUCCCAACUGAAACCACAAUCUCUCCUCAUAGUUUCAAACCAGAUGCCCAGAAGAAGAGGAAGGGCUUAGGGUGUCCCACUCUCUUGUACAUCAAUAAAAUUCACUGCACUCAUACAAAGAACUGUUACAAAUGUCUAAAUUGGUUCUGUCCCAGAGAAAUAUAAAGGAACUACAUGUAUUGCUGUAAUUUUUCUUAUGACAAAAAGUAUAUUGCCUAAGGAUAUCCACAGAUGACUUCAUUAUAUAAAAGUGCUUUUCAUUUGAGAACUUGAAAUCAAUACCAGAACCCAAUUGCAGAAAGAGAACUGACCCUCAAAUAUUAGCCUCUGAUCUGUAUGUAUAUUCCAUAGUACAUGCAUCUUCACUCAGAGACAUAUCACUCACACACACACACACACACACACACACACACACACACACACACACUCAAAAUUAGUAAUAAUAACACAUUUCAAAUAUAAUUUACUUGGCCUAAUAAGUCUUAAAUAAUAAAAGUAUAUAAUUUUAAAAUAUCAGAAGGCCAACAAAAUAGCUGUGUAUAAAAUGUGCCCCUGAAUAAAGGACAACUCUUGAAAGGUUUUUCUUUGACCCACAAAUACAGUAGUACAUGUGUCUAUAAACAUAAAAACAUACAAACAAAUUAAUGUGUGUAUAUAGAAAUAAAAAAGGCGAAUGGAGAGAUGGCUCAAUGUUUAAGUGCACUUAUUGCUCUUCCAGAAGUCCUGAGUUCAAUUCCUAGCAAUGAUAUGCAGGUUCACAACCAUGUGGGAUUCAAUUCCCUCUUCUGGUAUGUCUGGAUGUAGUUACAACGUACUCACAUACAUAAAAUAAAUAAAGUCUUUUAAAAAAUCAAGAAAAGAGAGGAGGAAGUACAAUGGAUAAACAGUCAAAAGUGAUGGCUAGAGACCCAGUGAAAAGAACAAGCUAGUAACCCAGCCUACGUCCCACCCAUAUUCCAGCACUGAUGAGUGUAAGAUUUUCCACUAAAGUCCAGACAGCA